AUCUCUCCGGGCCUCUGUUUCCCCCAUCUUAGAUGGGCUCUGGGGCCUUCGGGCGCAAAAGGACACGAUAGUGUGGCGGGUCCCGGAAAGGGACUCCCGGGCGGGGUGUUGCGGGGAGGUGGUGACGUGGCCGGACAGGACCUAAAAGACUUGGACUAGAGGAGCGGAGCUGGCAGAAGCAUUGGACGACGGUGUACGCAUGCGCGUCGUCGGAGGCAGGCGUUCUGCGCGCGCGUGCCCGAGAAACUGACGGCCGCGCAUGCGCCCUUAGUUGGCGGGAAGUUUCGGAGGCGGCGACCGUGACGUAGAAGGCGGAGACCGCUUGACCCUGACCAGGGAGGAUCGGCUGCAGGGGCGCCAGGCGUCCAGGAGUGACCUGGGGCUGUGGAGAGCGACCCGUGGCCUUGUGUUUCAGAGUUUACCACCUAGGAUGACUUCAGUGACUAGAUCAGAGAUCAUAGAUGAAAAAGGACCAGUGAUGUCUAAGACUCAUGAUCAUCGAUUGGAAUCAAGUCUCAGUCCUGUGGAAGUGUUUACUAAAACAUCUGCCUCCCUGGAGAUGAAUCAAGGCGUUUCAGAGGAAAGAAUUCACCUUGGCUGUAGCCCUAAAAAAGGGGGAAAUUGUGAUCUCAGCCACCAGGAAAGACUUCAGUCGAAGUCCCUUCAUUUGUCCCCUCAAGAACAAUCUGCCAGUUAUCAAGACAGGAGGCAAUCCUGGCGGCGAGCAAGUAUGAAAGAAACGAACCGGCGGAAGUCGCUGCAUCCGAUUCACCAGGGCAUCACAGAGCUCAGCCGGUCUAUCAGUGUCGAUUUAGCAGAAAGCAAACGGCUUGGCUGUCUCCUGCUUUCCAGUUUCCAGUUCUCUAUUCAGAAACUUGAACCUUUCCUAAGGGACACUAAGGGCUUCAGUCUUGAAAGUUUUAGAGCCAAAGCAUCUUCUCUUUCUGAAGAAUUGAAACAUUUUGCAGACGGACUGGAAACUGAUGGAACUCUACAAAAAUGUUUUGAAGAUUCAAAUGGAAAAGCAUCAGAUUUUUCUCUGGAAGCAUCUGUGGCUGAGAUGAAGGAAUACAUAACAAAGUUUUCUUUAGAACGUCAGACUUGGGAUCAGCUCUUGCUUCACUACCAGCAGGAGGCUGAAGAGAUAUUGUCCAGAGGAUCAACUGAGGCCAAAACUACUGAGGUCAAAGUGGAACCUGUGACAUAUCUUAGGUCUUCUCAGAAUGAAGUUCUUAAUACAAAACCUGACUACCAGAAAAUAUUACAGAACCAGAGCAAGGUCUUUGAUUGUAUGGAGUUGGUGAUGGAUGAGCUGAAAGGAUCAGUGAAACAGCUGCAGGCCUUUAUGGAUGAAAGUACCCAGUGCUUCCAGAAGGUGUCAGUACAGCUUGGGAAGAGAAGCAUGCAACAAUUAGAUCCCUCACCAGCUCGAAAACUGUUGAAGCUUCACCUACAGAACCCACCUGCCACACAUGGAUCUGGAUCUGGAUCUUGUCAGUGACCUUAUGAGAGUUUCUGCCACAAGGUGCCCAAGAGGAGAGGAAUGGGAAGAGUGCCCCAGCACAUAGUGACUGCAUGAUUUCUGCUCAUUGCCUUUGAAGAUAACUGGCAGGACUGACUGUAGAGCACUUUGACUUUUUUCAAAAUGUGAUGGAAUUUGUACAUCCAAAUGAAUAUUGUAUAGAUGUUUUUCCCAGGAAUGUGCAAAAUGCUUGAAAGUUCAAACUUCUUUUUUGAAAUGAUCUUCAGAUCUAGUGGCCCAUUCUUUUAUCUUUAUCCUGUGAAGGUGUUUUUCAGGUUUUGAAACAAUCCAAAAAUCAUUUAGGACCAAGUCUGAGGAAACAUUUUAGUGACCAAGUUGGAUUCUGGUUGUAAAGGAAUGAUACUAAUUUUCUAGCAUGGCUCUGAAGGUGAUUUUAGGUAGAAGAGUUUUGAGGCUGGGCACAAUGGCUCAUGCCUGUAAUCCUAGCACUUUGGGAGACUGAGGCGGGUGGAUUGCUUGAGCCCAGAAGUUGAAGACCAGCCUGAGAAAUAAGGUGAAACCCUGUCUACAAAAAAUACAAAAAGUUAGCUGGGUGUGGUGGCGUGCGCCUGUGGUGCUAGCUACUCAGAAGGCUGAGGUGGGAGGAUUGUUUGAGCCCAGGAGGUUGAGGCUGCAGUGAGUUCUAAUUGCGCCACUGCACUCUAGCCUGAGUGACAGUGAGACACUGUCUUAAAAAAAAUUAAAAAUUCUAAAAAAAUGAAAAAAAAGUUUUGAGCAUUGUUUGCAUCAUUGGGAUACAUGUGUCACUUCACAAGAUGUUCAAUUUGAAGGAAAUACCACUCAUUCUCUAUGUCCUGUUGUCUGUAGUGUGCUUCAGUUUUUAAUAUUGAGUUGACCUCCUAAAUCCUGGAUUCAUGACAAGAAAGGAGUUGAGAGAAUUAUAGAACCUAUAUCACAGGGAUGCUAUAAGAAUUAAAUAAUAGGGGCAGCCACGGUGUCCUAUUUUGAUGAACACGACUGCGAGCCAUCGGACCCUGAGCAGGAGAUGCAAACCAACAUGCUGCUGGAGCUCGCAAGGUCACUUUUCAAUAGGAUGGACUUUGAAGACUUGGGGUUGGUAGUAGAUUGGGAUCACCACCUGCCUCCACCAGCUGCCAAGACUGUGGUUGAGAACCUCCCCAGGACAGUCAUCAGAGGCGCCCAGGCUGAGCUCAAGUACCCCAUGUGUCUUUUGGAAUUUGAGGAGGAGGAGACUGCCAUUGAGAUGCCUUGCCAUCACCUUUUCCAUUCCAGCUGCAUUCUGCCCUGGCUAAGCAAGACAAAUUCCUGUCCCUUGUGCCGCCACGAGCUGCCCACUGAUGAUGACACUUAUGAGGAGCACAGAAGAGAUAAGUCUCGAAAACAGCAGCAGCAACACCGACUGGAGAACCUCCAUGGAGCCAUGUACACAUGAGGAGGUUGGGGCUGAGUGCUGGCCCUCUGCGUCUUCCUUAUUAACCUUGAAUCCUCAUUAAAGGUUUCUUUACCCACAAAAAAAAAAAAAAAA